AAUCAACGCUGGCGGCGUGCCUCAGACAUGCAAGUCGAACGAUUAAGACUCCCUUCGGGGAGUGCAUAAAGUGGCGCACGGGUGAGUAACACGUAAGUAAUCUACCUUCGAGUGGGGAAUAACGUUCGGAAACGAACGCUAAUACCGCAUAAUGCAGCGGCAUCGCAAGAUGACAGUUGUUAAAGGAGCAAUCCGCUUGAAGAGGAGCUUGCGGCAGGUUAGCUAGUUGGUAAGGUAACGGCUUACCAAGGCUACGAUCUGUAUCCGGCCUGAGAGGGCGGUCGGACACACUGACACUGAAUAACGGGUCAGACUCCUACGGGAGGCAGCAGUCGGGAAUUUUGGGCAAUGGGCGAAAGCCUGACCCAGCAACGCCGCGUGAAGGAUGAAGUAUUUCGGUAUGUAAACUUCGAAAGAAUAGGAAGAAUAAAUGACGGUACUAUUUAUAAGCUCCGGCUAACUACGUGCCAGCAGCAGCCGCCGUAA
rnacentral:rRNA from 1 species